ensembl:lncRNA
UUAAUGUAUGUAUUGUGAAUAUCUUUAUUAAAAUAUGACAAUAAACCCGUCUGUGCCCUGUUAAUUUAAUAACUAAUUGUGAAAUCCCAGGAAAAUUCAGUUGCUUUCAGAAUAAAUUGGUCAGUUUGCUAAUUCACAGAAUGGUGAAUUAAUACAGUAUCCCCUAGUCUGUUUACCAGUAAGUCCUCAGUAGUUACUGAAUAACUGUCCCUUAGGGCAGUUAUUCAGUAACUAAUAUGUGGAGAGACAAAGCCAAACAGAGACACAGGAAUGAACAUCCGACUCCAUGUGUUAGGUAAAGGUUUUAUAUAAUAGGAUACAUGAGGAACUAGGCUAUGUUAACGUAUUCAAUCAGAAUACUAUCAUCUUACAGAAGGAUCAUUUAUACACUGGGAGUCCUCAGUCCACAUAACCAGGAACCAUGAAAAGAGAAACGCAUUUCCAAAGUCCUUUUUAAAACUUAAUCCCAAAAAACGGACUUCUAAAGCGAGAUGCAACAGUCCACUGGAGAGUUUAGUGCAGUCUGUGUUUGUCGAUUUUCUUGACAUCAUUUAAAACCGAUGAGUAACCUCGUUGCCCAAGACCAACAUGCUAUGAAGGCGUUCCUCCUCUGCCUGGUAGAAUCAUCUCAUUCAGGUCUGUAGUCUGUGGUGGACUCUGGUUCCUCAGGGCUGUAGUCUGGUCGAGCUCUGGUUCCUCAGGGCUGUAGUCUGUGGUGGACUCUGGUUCCUCAGGUCUGUGGUCUGUGGUGAGCUCUGGUUCCUCAGGGCUGUAGUCUGGUCGAGCUCUGGUUCCUCUGGUCUGUGGUCUGUGGUGGACUCUGGUUCCUCAGGUCUGUAGUCUGUGGUGGACUCUGGUUCCUCAGGUCUGUAGUCUGUGGUGGACUCUGGUUCCUCAGGUCUGUAGUCUGUGGUGGACUCUGGUUCCUCAGGUCUGUAGUCUGGUCGAGCUCUGGUUCUCAGGUCUGUAGUCUGUGGUUGAGCUCUGGUUCCUCAGGUGGCUGACCUCAGGUCAUUGUCAGAGUCUCAAGCUGCUCCUGUUAUCCAGUCGGGGAUCCUGCUUAUAAAAAAUAACCGUCCAACACAAGAUUUGCAUAAUAGGAGAUCUUAGCAAGUUAAAGUUGUUUGUUGAGUUUAUUCACUUUUCAAAACGUCUGACUCUUUUUAAAAGAAUGGUCCCUUCGCUGACUUAAAACGGACCUGGGAACCGAUCAACCCUGUUUAAUACAUUUUUAAGACUUUCAACAAAACAUUCGGCAAUAAUCUCUUCAUGAAAAAAACAAACCAACAGUCGACCGCAUUAGUGUGCAAGAAGAACUCUCUAGAAGCAGGACAUCAAAACAAGCUGUUGGAUCGAGUGAAUGGACCGUUCUGACAUCAGGGAGGUUUUCCUCCGGAUCUGUUCGACAUGGCUUCUGAAGUCCACUCAGACGAAGAGCAGGCCCUCUUCAGUCGGGGGGCAUGGUGGGUGGAGGUCGCCUGGAGGGGGCUUCUUUCGGUGAGCCGUGGUGGAGCGGGGAGCUGUCCUGGGGUGUAUGGCUUGAUUCCAAAGAACGAGUUAUUGGUUCCGUUUGAAAGAAAGACGUUACAGCGAGGUGGAGCAGACAUGAGGCACUGAGCAUUGUUCGAGGGUCGUGGGGCUAUGUUUGGACUUCCUGCUUUUCCUCUUCCUCCUGAAGUCCUAAUCUGAUGAGGAUGAGGAGGGUGUGCAGGAACACACGUCAGUCUGGGGCUGAGAACCAACGGCAUGAGCAAACAAUAGUUAGGGGUUAACGGUCAGACAGCUCUGAGGACAGGGUCCCUGGGGGCUGCUGGGGCUUAGUGUCUUUGAGGGGGGGAGACAUCGUCAUCCAGAGAGCGUAAAAAGCCAGCCAUGUCUCAAAAACACUUGUGGUGUUCAUCCUUCACGGACGUCGACAACGUGGAAAUGAUUUGUCUCCUCUUGGUAAAAAGUGCACUCUGCAGCAAUCAGAUCACCGGCGAGCGCCCAGACGGUCUGGGAGCGUGGGGGGGGGGGUCCUCCAUUGGAUCUGCCUCCUGGAGUGGUUCAACGGCGUGUCUCAUGGCUUGCAUUACGUCUGAAUUGCUUUCCGCCUCCCCCUUCAGACAGGAGUGUUGGAGGAGUCUCGCCUCCGAGGCCCGAGAACCAGAUCCCACCGGCUCAUCGAGUUAAACCUCGGCCUUAUCAGAUCUUCAGACAGACGUGGGGCGGAGGUGUAGGGUGGGGCUCCGCCUCCCCUCCUCCGGGACUGACGGACAGACGUACCGACGGACCGACGGACAGACGGACCGACGGACCGACGGACCGAC